rnacentral:rRNA from 1 species
GAUGAACGCUGGCGGCGUGCCUAAUACAUGCAAGUCGAGCGAACGGACGAGAAGCUUGCUUCUCUGAUGUUAGCGGCGGACGGGUGAGUAACACGUGGAUAACCUACCUAUAAGACUGGGAUAACUUCGGGAAACCGGAGCUAAUACCGGAUAAUAUUUUGAACCGCAUGGUUCAAAAGUGAAAGACGGUCUUGCUGUCACUUAUAGAUGGAUCCGCGCAGCAUUAGCUAGUUGGUAAGGUAACGGCUUACCAAGGCAACGAUGCAUAGCCGACCUGAGAGGGUGAUCGGCCACACUGGAACUGAGACACGGUCCAGACUCCUAUGGGAGGCAGCAGUAGGGAAUCUUCCGCAAUGGGCGAAAGCCUGACGGAGCAACGCCGCGUGAGUGAUGAAGGUCUUCGGAUCGUAAAACUCUGUUAUUAGGGAAGAACAUAUGUGUAAGUAACUGUGCACAUCUUGACGGUACCUAAUCAGAAAGCCACGGCUAACUACGUGCCAGCAGCCGCGGUAAUACGUAGGUGGCAAGCGUUAUCCGGAAUUAUUGGGCGUAAAGCGCGCGUAGGCGGUUUUUUAAGUCUGAUGUGAAAGCCCACGGCUCAACCGUGGAGGGUCAUUGGAAACUGGAAAACUUGAGUGCAGAAGAGGAAAGUGGAAUUCCAUGUGUAGCGGUGAAAUGCGCAGAGAUAUGGAGGAACACCAGUGGCGAAGGCGACUUUCUGGUCUGUAACUGACGCUGAUGUGCGAAAGCGUGGGGAUCAAACAGGAUUAGAUACCCUGGUAGUCCACGCCGUAAACGAUGAGUGCUAAGUGUUAGGGGGUUUCCGCCCCUUAGUGCUGCAGCUAACGCAUUAAGCACUCCGCCUGGGGAGUACGACCGCAAGGUUGAAACUCAAAGGAAUUGACGGGGACCCGCACAAGCGGUGGAGCAUGUGGUUUAAUUCGAAGCAACGCGAAGAACCUUACCAAAUCUUGACAUCCUUUGACAACUCUAGAGAUAGAGCCUUCCCCUUCGGGGGGGCAAAGUGACAGGUGGUGCAUGGUUGUCGUCAGCUCGUGUCGUGAGAUGUUGGGUUAAGUCCCGCAACGAGCGCAACCCUUAAGCUUAGUUGCCAUCAUUAAGUUGGGCACUCUAAGUUGACUGCCGGUGACAAACCGGAGGAAGGUGGGGAUGACGUCAAAUCAUCAUGCCCCUUAUGAUUUGGGCUACACACGUGCUACAAUGGACAAUACAAAGGGCAGCGAAACCGCGAGGUCAAGCAAAUCCCAUAAAGUUGUUCUCAGUUCGGAUUGUAGUCUGCAACUCGACUACAUGAAGCUGGAAUCGCUAGUAAUCGUAGAUCAGCAUGCUACGGUGAAUACGUUCCCGGGUCU